GCUGGCUUGCCAGCUAUGGUGAUAAACGCGGUCGUAAUAAGCCGAUCGGACCCGGGGGCGGUACCCGGCGCCUCCACCA
rnacentral:tmRNA from 1 species